CAUCUUUGAGAAAUAAACACAAUACUUAAGUACUGAUAGAGCUAACACCUCCUCAAAGCAC
rnacentral:tRNA from 2 species